GGCGGCGUGCCUAAUACAUGCAAGUAGAACGCUGAAGAGAGGAGCUUGCUCUUCUUGGAUGAGUUGCGAACGGGUGAGUAACGCGUAGGUAACCUGCCUGGUAGCGGGGGAUAACUAUUGGAAACGAUAGCUAAUACCGCAUAACAACAGUUGUUGCAUGACAGCUGUUUAAAAGAUGCAAUUGCAUCACUACCAGAUGGACCUGCGUUGUAUUAGCUAGUUGGUGAGGUAACGGCUCACCAAGGCGACGAUACAUAGCCGACCUGAGAGGGUGAUCGGCCACACUGGGACUGAGACACGGCCCAGACUCCUACGGGAGGCAGCAGUAGGGAAUCUUCGGCAAUGGGGGGAACCCUGACCGAGCAACGCCGCGUGAGUGAAGAAGGUUUUCGGAUCGUAAAGCUCUGUUGUAAGAGAAGAACGGGUGUGAGAGUGGAAAGUUCACACUGUGACGUAUCUACCAGAAA
rnacentral:rRNA from 1 species